rfam:Glossina fuscipes fuscipes unplaced genomic scaffold Scaffold282, whole genome shotgun sequence.
UUAACGGACUUUUUAAAGUCCACUAAAGCAAUAUUGCUUAAUAAG